AGAGUUUGAUCCUGGCUCAGAAUCAACGCUGGCGGCGUGCCUAACACAUGCAAGUCGAGCGAGAAAGGGGGGGCAACUCCCUGAGUAAAGCGGCGCACGGGUGAGUAACACGUGGGUAAUCUGCCCUGGAGUGGGGAAUAACACCGGGAAACCGGUGCUAAUACCGCAUACGAUAGCGAGGUCUGCGGAUCUUGCGAUGAAAGGAGCAAUUCGCUCUAGGAGGAGCCCGCGGCUGAUUAGCUAGUUGGUGAGGUAAUGGCUCACCAAGGCAACGAUCAGUAGCCGGUCUGAGAGGACGGUCGGCCACACUGGAACUGAGACACGGUCCAGACUCCUACGGGAGGCAGCAGUGGGGAAUUUUUGGCAAUGGGGGCAACCCUGACCAAGCAACGCCGCGUGGGUGAUGAAGUCUCUUGGGACGUAAAACCCUUUCGACGGGGAAGAAACCGCAAGGUUGACGGUACCCGUAGAAGAAGCCCCGGCUAACUCCGUGCCAGCAGCCGCGGUAAUACGGGGGGGGCUAGCGUUGUUCGGAAUUACUGGGCGUAAAGGGCGCGUAGGCGGUCUGCUAAGUUGGAUGUGAAAACUCUGGGCUUAACCCAGAGCCUGCAUUCAAUACUGACAGGCUAGAGUUCUGGAGGGGAUAGCGGAAUUCCUGGUGUAGCGGUGAAAUGCGUAGAUAUCAGGAGGAACACCGGUGGCGAAGGCGGCUAUCUGGACAGAGUCUGACGCUGAGGCGCGAAAGCUAGGGGAGCAAACAGGAUUAGAUACCCUAGUAGUCC
rnacentral:rRNA from 1 species